UACGUAGGGCCCGAGCGUUAUCCGGUAUUAUUGGGCGUAAAGAGUACGUAGGCGGUUACUUAAGUCGGAUGUGAAAGCCCUCGGCUUAACUGAGGAAGUGCACCCGAAACUGAGUAGCUAGAGUACGAAAGAGGGUCGCGGAAUUCCCGGUGUAGAGGUGAAAUGCGUAGAUAUCAGGAGGAACACCGGUGGCGAAGGCGGCCCUCUGGACGGAUACUGACGCUGAGGCGCGAAAGCGUGGGGAUCAAACAGG
rnacentral:rRNA from 1 species